CUAUUGAGUUUCGUGGAGCUA
rnacentral:siRNA from 1 species